AUGCGCCAACCUUUUCCCGCUGCGUGUGGUAGGUGGAACCUGUGGACGCUCGCCUCGCCAGGCCACCCCCCACAACCCACCGCCACCAACAACACCAACCAGCCAGCCUCCCCGGUCCGGUCCAGGUCCAGCAGAGCGCCGCGGGUCGCUGCCGGGCGCCGGCCUACUUGCCGGUACGGCGGAGGAGCGCGCUCCGUCCGCAUUGAAGAGCAGCACAUGGAUCCACUGGCUGCCGUCGUUAUGCAUGGGCCACGCCGGCGAUGGGCCGAGAGCGAUAGAUCGAUUAGCCGGACAUAUGCAUGUAGUGCUUCGUCGUGCGUCGGCAGGACUCCAUGGCGUCGAUCGUCUGCAUGGCGUGGCACCUCUUUCAGCGACAUGCACACCACGGCAUACGUUUCUCGGGCAUUUGUUCGCUUCGUGACCACCCGAUCGAUCGUGUCGACGACGUAUGUGUACCGUUUUGGUCGGGUGCGGGCACGGCUUUAA
rnacentral:rRNA from 1 species